CACGUCACAUGCAGAGAGCAGGAGAGGAGCCUAGUUGAAAUCAUGAAGUGCACGGCCGUCCACUCCAGACAAUAUGCAACAUCACAAAACAGGCCCCUCUGAAGCACUGCAGCAGGGUUCGUCGUAGCGUCAUUAUGUCAGAGGAGAUUGGGAAUUUGCUAAAGGCACUUCCAAAAGGUCAAUCGGAAGGCAAAGAUGAGGGCGAUAUUUCAAGAAACAGUGAUUCUGAUAAUGAUGCAAGAAAGAGCGCAGCAGAGUGUUCAGAAAAAUUGGUGGAGAUUGACAAUGAUGGUCCUGAUGACCCUUCACCUGUGUGUGGUCACAGAAAAGGUGUCACCUUGUCCAGAUGACAUCCACGUGAUCGAGGUGCUAGAGAUGGUUCAGCUGCUAGGCUUCAUGGUGCUGAUGCAGCUGCUACGGUGCAUUCUGCAAUAUGUCAAUAAUGACCAGGAUAUAGCAGGAGACAAUGCCGGUGAUGCUCAUGAUGAAGCACAGGAUGCAGGACUAUAACUUUCUGAGAUGACUGUACUUGAUGUUUAAAUAAAA